AGAGUUUGAUCCUGGCUCAGAUUGAACGCUGGCGGCAGGCCUAACACAUGCAAGUCGAACGGUAACAGGAAGCAGCUUGCUGCUUUGCUGACGAGUGGCGGACGGGUGAGUAAUGUCUGGGAAACUGCCUGAUGGAGGGGGAUAACUACUGGAAACGGUGGCUAAUACCGCAUAACGUCGCAAGACCAAAGAGGGGGACCUUCGGGCCUCUUGCCAUCAGAUGUGCCCAGAUGGGAUUAGCUUGUUGGUGAGGUAACGGCUCACCAAGGCGACGAUCCCUAGCUGGUCUGAGAGGAUGACCAGCCACACUGGAACUGAGACACGGUCCAGACUCCUACGGGAGGCAGCAGUGGGGAAUAUUGCACAAUGGGCGCAAGCCUGAUGCAGCCAUGCCGCGUGUAUGAAGAAGGCCUUCGGGUUGUAAAGUACUUUCAGCGGGGAGGAAGGUGUUGUGGUUAAUAACCGCAGCAAUUGACGUUACCCGCAGAAGAAGCACCGGCUAACUCCGUGCCAGCAGCCGCGGUAAUACGGAGGGUGCAAGCGUUAAUCGGAAUUACUGGGCGUAAAGCGCACGCAGGCGGUCUGUCAAGUCGGAUGUGAAAUCCCCGGGCUCAACCUGGGAACUGCAUUCGAAACUGGCAGGCUUGAGUCUUGUAGAGGGGGGUAGAAUUCCAGGUGUAGCGGUGAAAUGCGUAGAGAUCUGGAGGAAUACCGGUGGCGAAGGCGGCCCCCUGGACAAAGACUGACGCUCAGGUGCGAAAGCGUGGGGAGCAAACAGGAUUAGAUACCCUGGUAGUCCACGCCGUAAACGAUGUCUACUUGGAGGUUGUGCCCUUGAGGCGUGGCUUCCGGAGCUAACGCGUUAAGUAGACCGCCUGGGGAGUACGGCCGCAAGGUUUAAACUCAAAUGAAUUGACGGGGGCCCGCACAAGCGGUGGAGCAUGUGGUUUAAUUCGAUGCAACGCGAAGAACCUUACCUGGUCUUGACAUCCACGGAAGAAUUCAGAGAUGGAUUUGUGCCUUCGGGAACCGUGAGACAGGUGCUGCAUGGCUGUCGUCAGCUCGUGUUGUGAAAUGUUGGGUUAAGUCCCGCAACGAGCGCAACCCUUAUCCUUUGUUGCCAGCGGUCCGGCCGGGAACUCAAAGGAGACUGCCAGUGAUAAACUGGAGGAAGGUGGGGAUGACGUCAAGUCAUCAUGGCCCUUACGACCAGGGCUACACACGUGCUACAAUGGCGCAUACAAAGAGAAGCGACCUCGCGAGAGCAAGCGGACCUCAUAAAGUGCGUCGUAGUCCGGAUUGGAGUCUGCAACUCGACUCCAUGAAGUCGGAAUCGCUAGUAAUCGUGGAUCAGAAUGCCACGGUGAAUACGUUCCCGGGCCUUGUACACACCGCCCGUCACACCAUGGGAGUGGGUUGCAAAAGAAGUAGGUAGCUUAACCUUCGGGAGGGCGCUUACCACUUUGUGAUUCAUGACUGGGGUGAAGUCGUAACAAGGUAACC
rnacentral:rRNA from 1 species